UUGUCAUGCUGCACACGCACGCGGAACGAGGAGACGUUGGAGAAUACUUUAACAAGACUUUAUUUCCAUGAACCAAGGGAGACGAACUCAGGAAGACGUUUA